rnacentral:lncRNA from 10 species
UGAAUGGUGUUGCCAAGGGUCUAUCUUUCUCUCCAUUUCUCACGAACAUUCCACAAGGUAGACCAGAUGUCACCAGCAGCAUAGACUCACAACCUCCUUGUUUAAUGACCCUUGAAAAGGGAUGUUCUUUCCCUAUUACCAUGUCAGAAAAAUCUGUAAAAAAAUAAACAAAACAAAACCUCUGAUUGAGCCUGGCAUGAUGGCUCACAUCUGUAAUCCCAGCACUUUGAGAGGCCGAGGGAGGAGGAUUGCUUGAGCCCAGGAAUUACAGACAAGCCCAGGAAAAAAAAAUCUCUCUCUCUCUCUCUCUCUCUCUUUCUCUCUCUCUCUCUCUCCCUCCUUUGAAUGGUGGUAAAAGAAUAUAAUGUUAAUAGCUAUAGCAACUCCCCUGACACAAUGAGAGAUCAACCUCACACCUGCCAACCUCCAUACAUCCUGUUCUUUGGAAUAAUUAAAUGUCUUGCUUUUUAAAGUAUCUCUUGAGCUGACUUUUGAAGCCCAAGGUGUUAAUAGUAACACCAUGUGCUCUGUGUCAGUGGCACACAGGGCUGAUCUGAGUUUUGCACACGCCCUUCUGAGAGGUGUAUGAUCUAUUGCAAUGCAAGAAUUAAGAGUGAAGCUUCUAGAACCCAUCGGCCUUACCCCUGUCAAGCUGGAAGUGACUCAGCCUCUCCGUGCCCCAGGUUCCUGAGAGGGUGCUCACAUAUGAGCUGAGCUGUUAGCCCUGGGGAUGUGUUAGAAUGAGGACUGCAAAAUGAGGCCAGAGAGGCAGGUGGGAGCAACAGCAUGGGGAACAGAUCAUGCAGGGCCUUAAGGAAUAAACAAGAAUAGAAAACACCUAGACAGUGGCAGUGAGCUGUGAGCCCAGGCAGGUGGGCCUCAAAGUAUACACUUGUAAUCCAUGCACCUCA